AGAACGAACGCUGGCGGCAUGCCUAAUACAUGCAAGUCGAACGAAGGCUUCGGCCUUAGUGGCGCACGGGUGCGUAACGCGUGGGAAUCUGCCCCUUGGUUCGGAAUAACAGUUGGAAACGACUGCUAAUACCGGAUGAUGACGAAAGUCCAAAGAUUUAUCGCCAAGGGAUGAGCCCGCGUAGGAUUAGCUAGUUGGUGAGGUAAAGGCUCACCAAGGCGACGAUCCUUAGCUGGUCUGAGAGGAUGAUCAGCCACACUGGGACUGAGACACGGCCCAGACUCCUACGGGAGGCAGCAGUAGGGAAUAUUGGACAAUGGGCGAAAGCCUGAUCCAGCAAUGCCGCGUGAGUGAUGAAGGCCUUAGGUUGUAAAGCUCUUUUACCCGAGAUGAUAAUGACGGUAUCGGAGAAUAAGCCCCGGCUAACUCCGCGCCAGCAGCCGC
rnacentral:rRNA from 1 species